GACGAACCAUGCGAACGUUAUUCGGAAUCACUGGGCUUAAAGCGUGCGUAGGCGGCUCAGAAAGUUGGGUGUGAAAUGCCUCGGCUCAACCGAGGAAUUGCGCCCAAAACUACUGAGCUUGAGGGAGUUAGAGGUGAGCGGAACUCACGGUGGAGCGGUGAAAUGCGUUGAUAUCGUGAGGAACACCGGAGGCGAAAGCGGCUCACUGGGGCUUCACUGACGCUGAGGCACGAAAGCUAGGGGAGCAAACGGG
rnacentral:rRNA from 1 species